rnacentral:rRNA from 1 species
CGCAUUCAGUUGCCAUCGGGUAAGUGCCGGGCACUCUGGAAGGACUGCCAUCGACAAGAUGGAGGAAGGUGGGGAGUGACGUCAAGUCAUCAUGGCCCUUAUGUCCAGGGCGACACACGUGCUACAAUGGCCGGCACAACGGGAAGCGAGUUCGCGAGGACGAGCGGAUCCCUUAAAGCCGGUCGCAGUUCGGAUUGAAGUCUGCAACUCGACUUCAUGAAGCUGGAAUCGCUAGUAAUCGUGGAUCAGCCAAGCCGCGGUGAAUACGUUCCCGGGCCUU